GACGAACGCUGGCGGCGUGCUUAACACAUGCAAGUCGAACGGAAAGGCCCUGCUUUUGUGGGGUGCUCGAGUGGCGAACGGGUGAGUAACACGUGAGUAACCUGCCCUUGACUUUGGGAUAACUUCAGGAAACUGGGGCUAAUACCGGAUAGGAGCUCCUGCUGCAUGGUGGGGGUUGGAAAGUUUCGGCGGUUGGGGAUGGACUCGCGGCUUAUCAGCUUGUUGGUGGGGUAGUGGCUUACCAAGGCUUUGACGGGUAGCCGGCCUGAGAGGGUGACCGGCCACAUUGGGACUGAGAUACGGCCCAGACUCCUACGGGAGGCAGCAGUGGGGAAUAUUGCACAAUGGGCGGAAGCCUGAUGCAGCAACGCGGCGUGCGGGAUGAGGGCCUUCGGGUUGUAAACCGCUUUCGCCUGUGACGAAGCGUGAGUGACGGAAAUGGGUAAAGAAGCACCGGCUAACUACGU
rnacentral:rRNA from 1 species